GAUUAGCGCAGCUGGUUAGCGCAUCUGCCUUACAAGCAGGAGGUCACUGGUUCGAGUCCAGUAUUUCG
rnacentral:tRNA from 1 species